UCAUUUUUGCAAUUUCUGAAAUUGUAGUUUUAACAAUUGCAUAGUUGCAAAAGUGAUC
rnacentral:pre_miRNA from 1 species